rnacentral:lncRNA from 1 species
UUGUUAUUGUUGUUGGUGAUAACUUCAGCCAUGGUUCUUUGUUUUGCGCCGGAAGACUAUUCUAGAUCUAGCAUCUUGGGUUUUUGUUUCUUUUUCAUUUUCUUACUAAUGUUUUUGUGUGUGGUUCUUUUGAUUUCAGGAUUGAAUAACAAUUGUUUUGCAUUAACAUUACCUCGCAUAAAUAAGUAACAACAUAAGUAACUCUAGAUAUUGAUGGGUUAGUGUUAG